GUGAGCCACCGCACCCGGCCUUGUUUAGUUUUUUAGAGACAAAGUCUUGCGCUGUCACCCAGGCUAAAGUGCAAUAGCGUGAUGGAACGCUGGGGCUCAAGCAAUGAUCCUGCCUGAGCUCUGGGAUUACAGGUGUGCACCACUGUGCCCGGCCCUUAUUUAGCAUUCAUAUUGCCUGCUAUGUACCAGGACUGUACUUAACACUUGACAGAUAUUUUAACUCACAUAAUUCUCAUGGAAACCCUGAGAGAUAGUGUAUUAGUCAGUUUUCUUUUUGCUGUGAUGUUGCUGUGUAACAACCACCCCCUCCGCCCCCAAACUCAGUGGCUUAGAACAGCAAGCACUGAUUCCUCACUCACGGGUCUGUGGGUUGGCCGUGGCCUUGCCGAUUGGCUGCGAGGAGCUGGGCUUUAUCAGCUGCAGUUGGACUCUGAUUUCCCCAAGUGUCCUGUCAUUUAGGCACCAACCAGAGUGUGCUCAUUCACUCAGUGGGUGGCAGAGGCACAGAGCACAGGCAGAGUCAAUGCAUUUGCAGCUUCUGCUUGCGACACGUGCCCACAUUCCCUCAGCCAAGCAAGUCACAUGGCCAAGCCCAACACUGUGAGCUGGGAAGUUGCACGGCACAAGGAAGGGACAGACAAUUCUCCUAAAGACGGGGAAAGGUGAGUCGGAAACAAUAACCUAAUCUCUCGCAGGUCAGUGCUCUUUAUUACCCGCAUUUUACAGAUGGGGGAUGGGAGGCACCUAGAGGUUAAAUCAUUUGCCCAAGGUCAUCCGAGGUAAGUAAGUGGCAGAGGUGGGAAUCAAACCCAGAGCCUGUGGUCUUACCACCCAAGGGAUCUGCUUCUCUUGCGCUUGUUGAUUGGCCAGGCAAAUAGUCGCCCCCUUCCUUCUGGCUUCUCAGAGCCCCUUCUGUCCACCUAGAAGCCAGACUGGACCCUCUGCCCCUCCUCUUGAAUGCAGGGGGCGCUGGGUCUCAGGGUUGCAGGAAACCUCAUGCCUCCCUGAAUACUCCUCAGUGGUCUGCCAUGGCUGGUCAUCCACUGGCUUCCCCUAGGAUUCCAGGGCCCACAGCAACCUGGCUGAGGGCUCUGAGCUGGGGACACCGGAGGGAGGGCCGGCUAGAGGCUGCAAGGCCCCAGGACUCUGGGUGUGGCUUUCUCUCAGGGGCCUGGGCUGAGUUCCCUUAUCCCCUAGAGGAACUGGGGCCCAAGGCAUGCAUAGCAAUCCCCAGCUUUGGGCCUGGUGUGACCAGAGGCCUCAACCCUGGUCCGCAUCCCCAGCGAGGUCAGCGUUUUGGAGGUGUUGCCCCACGAUCAUGUCUGCUGAGUAAGGGCAGAGAGACCCUUCCUGGUGACAGCUGCCCCCCCACACUGCAGUCAACCCCAUGGCGUACCCACUGCACAGCUCCUCUGCCCCUCGUAUGCUUCCCGUAAGCUCUGCCUCCCCUAGGAAGGGAGGGGCACGACGGAGGGGGGCCUGCUCCGCGCAAGCUCUCACAUAGGAAGGCAUGGGAGCUGGGGGAAGGGCACCCACUGCAGCCCUGGCACCAGGGGGUGGGUAGGAGCAAGGGCUUUGGUGUCAGCCAGCUCCCCGUUGUGCUGUGUGAUCCUGGAAAGUCACUCAACCUCUCUGAGCCUUUUCUUCACCUGUACAGUGGGGAUAGUAACUACCUACCUUAUGGAAGCAUAUGAGGAUUGCAUGAAGUCAUCCACGCAGCCCAUCCACCGCCACGUGGAGUUUGGCACAGAGCAAACAGUUUCUAAAUGGAAGUCAUCAUGAUCAGGCCACACUUUCAGUAGCAAGGCUUCAUAGCUGCCCAGAGGUUCCCAGUGGAACUGAGCCCUGGCUGCCGGCCAUAGAAACCUGCUCGCUAACCUGAACCAGCUCCUGAAGUUCCCCGUCUCAACCUCUCUUCUUGGGAAUGCCUUCCAAAUAAACCACUUCCACUUGGAUCCUGUUUGGGGGCCCCAACCUCAGAGGACGCUGCCGCACUCCACCUAUCAGCUGGAUGGCCUCGAGCAAGUCACUUGGCCCCUGUGAGCCUCAGUUUCCUUAAUCUUCAAAUGGAGACAGUAACCAGGAGGUGUAGAAGACAGCAUGAAUGAACACGUGCAAGGAACCGGAAAUGCUAGCACCAGUGCCAAGGUUUGCACAGCUGUGCUGGAGAAGAGCAAGGCUGAUCCCCGUUGCCACAGCAUUGCUGGGGUGUUGGGUUCUCAGUGAACCGGACGCUUCAUCAAAGACUGGGGAUGCUCUGUAGGUGGGGGUAGGUGCCUCUUUGGAGCAAAUCCAGAGUGAGGAUUUAUGUUGAACCCAAAACAUCACUCCCCUUUUCUUAUUUUCUGUCUGUUCUUCUUUAAAUACGUCCUGGGGGAAUGGUUCCUAAUGUCUGCAGUUUAUUUUUCAUUUAUUUUUUAAUGCCAAAGCCAAGCAUACUGAUUAAAACCAACAAUAAAAAAGCUUCGUGAAUGGC